UACGAAGGGGGCUAGCGUUGCUCGGAAUCACUGGGCGUAAAGCGCACGUAGGCGGAUUGCUAAGUCAGGGGUGAAAUCCCCGGGCUUAACCUGGGAACUGCGCUUGUUACUGGCAGGCUUGAGUGUGGCAGAGGGGGGUGGAAUUCCACGUGUAGCAGUGAAAUGCGUAGAGAUGUGGAGGAACACCGAUGGCGAAGGCAGCCCCCUGGGCUAACACUGACGCCUCAUGCACGAAAGCGUGGGGAGCAAACAGG
rnacentral:rRNA from 1 species